UACGUAGGGUGCGAGCGUUAAUCGGAAUUACUGGGCGUAAAGCGUGCGCAGGCGGUUUUGUAAGCCAGAUGUGAAAUCCCCGGGCUUAACCUGGGAAUGGCAUUUGGGACUGCAAGGCUUGAGUGCGGCAGAGGAGACUGGAAUUCCUGGUGUAGCAGUGAAAUGCGUAGAGAUGUGGAGGAACACCGAUGGCGAAGGCAGCCCCCUGGGCCAACACUGACGCUCAUGCACGAAAGCGUGGGGAGCAAACAGG
rnacentral:rRNA from 1 species